AUGGCGGUAGGCAGGAUGCUGGAGCUCCUCGUCUUCUUCUCCACGGCCGGCAGCUUGCUUCUCGACUUGGCGGCGGUGUUCCUCUGUAUCCUGGCCGGCCCAUACUACCCGACGUUUAGGCUGCCCAACCAGUUGAUGUGGUGGACUUCCUUCUGCGGUGCCGUCCCGUGGGGUGCCGUGCUGCUGAUGUUACAGGCCAACUGCUGGUGUCACGGCUGGGAGGCCACCAACGUCGACCUCCUGGUCCUGAGCGCCGUGGAGUGGGUCGUCGCGUGUUCCACCUUCGGCUCGGCGUGUGCGGCCCUCGCCGUCGACCAGCUCGCCAUCCAGCACAGCUACUGCGGCCCGAGGGACGCCGUGUGCUCAAUGUACCUUGUGGCCGCCGCGAUCUCAUGCGCCGCCGGGGCUCUCGCCGCCGCGUCGGCCUUGGGGAUGCUCUGGAUCCUCGCCUCCCGGUUCCGCCCAUCCAUGGUGUCGAAGUCGAACACAGGCAGCAAUCUCAAUGCGACGAUGGAUGACGACGGCGGUGGCGCCGAAAGCAAGCCAGAUCUUGUGACGCGCGUCUGGGGACGGCACGCUGACACUCUUGUGCGCGGUGAACAAGCCGUCGACGACGAGGUUGUGUCACGUACGCCCCCGACGCCAGGUACAACGCCGCCCGACCACGUCCUCCACCUCCAGUACGGUGCCGUCCAGCUCCCUCCAGUCCUCCUCCACCACCCGCGUGAGCGCAUCCUCGCCGGCGCCGGGAAAUAUCUCAGCCAUAGACACCGCACCGCCAUCCCGACGCGGCGAGACCGAGAGCGCGUUCACGCGCACCGCGACGAUGACGGUGGCCUUGCAGGUCGCGUUCGUGAGGAUCGGGGAGCCGGAGCUGAGAACGCCAACGACGCUGGUCGUGCACGGGAUGCCACCGUCGCGGAGGGCCGGCGCCAUGACGUGCGCGUCGCGGCAUCCGGCGCGGAGGUCUGCACGCAGCGACCCAGGCCGUCCUGCACGUCGUCGAUGACGACGUUGGCGCCGUUCCUGAUACUGCGCCGCCUGUCGAUGCCGCUCACGGCGCCCGUGAUGGACGCAACUUUACCACUCCUGUUGGCCUUUAACCCACGGCCAGCGCGCGUCGGAUGCGCGUGCGUGCAUGCGCCAGACGUGCCGGGCGCGGUCCGUUAUAGGAGGCCGUUGGCGAGCUGGGCGGCGCAAUCGGGUCAGGUCAGUGGGGCUCGGCGCGACCAGAGACGCGUGUGUGCAUGUCGUGGGCGCAGCCAGAGCGGGGCCAGGUCAUGGCUCGGCUGGGUAGGGGGCGUGCGGGUCGUGCCUAGCGCAGACCCAGGGUAUGGACUGUGGUGCGCGGUGGUUCCGACGGAGGGCGUGGCGGUCGACGCCGGAAGGAGCAAGACGACGAGGGCUAUGAUGUUGGGGGCAUUGUCGGAGGAGGUGCUCCUGCAGGUGGCGACAAAGCCCACCGCGAAGGAGGUAUGCGACUCCCUCAAGGUGCGCUUCAACGGUGCUAGUCGGGUCCUGGCGGCGGAUGGAGGACGGCGAUGA
rnacentral:rRNA from 1 species